UGCUUGCACCUCUGGUGUCGAGCGGCGGACGGGUGAGUAAUGCUUGGGAAUAUGCCUUAUGGUGGGGGACAACAGUUGGAAACGACUGCUAAUACCGCAUGAUGUCUACGGACCAAAGUGGGGGACCUUCGGGCCUCACGCCAUAAGAUUAGCCCAAGUGGGAUUAGCUAGUUGGUGAGGUAAUGGCUCACCAAGGCGACGAUCCCUAGCUGGUUUGAGAGGAUGAUCAGCCACACUGGGACUGAGACACGGCCCAGACUCCUACGGGAGGCAGCAGUGGGGAAUAUUGCACAAUGGGCGCAAGCCUGAUGCAGCCAUGCCGCGUGUGUGAAGAAGGCCUUCGGGUUGUAAAGCACUUUCAGUAAGGAGGAAAGGUUAAGUGUUAAUAGCACUUAGCUGUGACGUUACUUACAGAAGAAGCACCGGCUAACUCCGUGCCAGCAGCCGCGGUAAUACGGAGGGUGCGAGCGUUAAUCGGAAUUACUGGGCGUAAAGCGUACGCAGGCGGUUUGUUAAGCGAGAUGUGAAAGCCCCGGGCUCAACCUGGGAACUGCAUUUCGAACUGGCAAACUAGAGUGUGAUAGAGGGUGGUAGAAUUUCA
rnacentral:rRNA from 1 species